rnacentral:lncRNA from 1 species
UUGAGGGACAAUAUGUUUUGAAUAUAAAUUCCAAUUCCAUUAUUAAUGAGUUUGCUUCUAGAACGUCGUGGAAUUGUUUUUUAUCUCCGACCAUCGUUUCCGCCGUGGGACAAUAACCGCCAGGCUUGCCUGUCAUUCUCGGUGCUUCCGUCAGUCGUUGCGGUCUCUGUCAGUCCGCCGGUGCCAGCUUUCUUACGGAAAUGAAUAAUACCGGUCGAAGAAUGCGGAAAAUUUUGCAUAGUAGUGUGCGGAAAAUUCUCCAAUUCAAAUUUUCUCAGCCUAUUGUUUCCUUCACAAGCAGACAAAUGGCGGGGAAAUUUAAAUAAGUAGAGCCCCACAGGCACAGUCUCCCACUCUUAUCGACAAAAUGGCCGAGAAAAUCCAGGCGGAAGAGAAGCACGGCGGUCCAGUGAUCGUCGCCGUCAAUCCUAAUCCUCAAAAGGGACUCGCCUCCACUCUUAUCGACUUCCUGGAGAAGUUAACCGUCAA